AUACGUAGGGGGCGAGCGUUGUCCGGAAUGAUUGGGCAUAAAGGGCGCGUAGGCGGCUUUGCAAGUCAGUAGUGGAAGUCCAUUUUUCAAGGAUGCAUGUGCUACAGAAACUGCGGAGCUUGAGUGCAGGUGAGGUUAUAGGAAUUCCCGGUGUAGCGGUUAAAUGCGUAGAGAUCGGGAGGAACACCAGUGGCGAAGGCGGGUAACUGGACUGCAACUGACGCUGAGGCGCGAAAGUGUGGGGAGCAAACAGGAUUAGAUACCCUGGUAGUCCACACUGUAAACGAUGAAUGCUAGGUGUAGGAGGUAUCGACCCCUUCUGUGCCGCAGUAAACACAGUAAGCAUUCCGCCUGGGGAGUACGGUCGCAAGAUUAAAACUCAAAGGAAUUGACGGGG
rnacentral:rRNA from 1 species